rnacentral:rRNA from 1 species
ACUCCUGCGGGAGGCAGCAGUGGGGAAUAUUGCACAAUGGGCGCAAGCCUGAUGCAGCCAUGCCGCGUGUAUGAAGAAGGCCUUCGGGUUGUAAAGUACUUUCAGCGGGGAGGAAGGCGAUAAGGUUAAUAACCUUGUCGAUUGACGUUACCCGCAGAAGAAGCACCGGCUAACUCCGUGCCAGCAGCCGCGGUAAUACGGAGGGUGCAAGCGUUAAUCGGAAUUACUGGGCGUAAAGCGCACGCAGGCGGUCUGUCAAGUCGGAUGUGAAAUCCCCGGGCUCAACCUGGGAACUGCAUUCGAAACUGGCAGGCUAGAGUCUUGUAGAGGGGGGUAGAAUUCCAGGUGUAGCGGUGAAAUGCGUAGAGAUCUGGAGGAAUACCGGUGGCGAAGGCGGCCCCCUGGACAAAGACUGACGCUCAGGUGCGAAAGCGUGGGGAGCAAACAGGAUUAGAAACCCUAGUAGUCC